ACACGAGAUAGAAGUUCAGGAAGUACUACCCUGCAAAACCCUUCACGCAGCCUUAACGUGAGGAAUGAUCUGCAAUUGGUGGGAAGUCGGGGGACUUACAGCAAGGUGCAGAGCUGAGCUGGAUCUGCUGAUGGAGUCAGUCUCUGGGAGGUGUGUGUACACAAAACAUGGGUCAUGCAGGAGGCCAGGGAGUGGUGCAGUGUUUGUAUGGGGCUUCGAGGUGCUGGGGGAAAUGCUGAGAGGGAUUUGGGAGCUGCUGCGGUGCUGGAGGUCAUCUCAUAGGAAAUGACUACCAUGAAUUGGUGUUCCUUGGGAUGAAGAGGUCGUGCUGUGAUGCCCAAGCAGUGUGAACACCAGCAGCCUUGCUGCAGAAUUUCUCUUUGGUGAUAGCAGUAGUUUUGAUGGGGAAGUGAUGCGUGGGGACAUUGAGAGCAUGGUCGUCACUGCUGCUGGUGUGGUGUUUUGGCCUUGGAGAAAAUGGUACUCAUACAGUGCUGCUCUCAGCUUUCUGCCUGCAGCAAAGGGAACAAGUGCUUUAUAAAUCCCUGCUUUGGUCCCAGCUUCUUCAAGUGACCUUUGUGUGUCUGCUUACUUUUGGUAAAAUGGAGGCAGUAAUGUCCAAUUGCUUUUUAGAAUCACAGAAUAUCCCGAAUUGAGAGGAACCCAUAAGGAUCAUUAAGUCCAACUCCUAGCCAGUCUCUUUGAGGAAACCAGAGUUUUCUCGUGUGUGAGAGUGCAAGAGAAAGCAAACCCACAUGGGAAGGAGCUACGCUUUGAGGAACAUCCUGAUUGCAGAAGGACGCAAGGCUCUGUUAAAGCCCAGGGCCAGGUUAGAAGCUCACGGUGUGAAACUGCCUUAAUGCAGAUAAUCAUGGAUGAAAAGGCAGCAUAGGGUGGGAAGCAGCCUGACAAGAAGGCUGUAAUGAUGUAACGGUAAUAUGACUGGGCCAGAAGGAAGUGGUAUUAUUGGGCUAAAUUCUUUCUACUUUGAAGAGGCCAAAGCCACUUCUCACAUGAUUGGAUUCCACCUCCAGGGUCUUGAAUUUGCCAGACAGCAAACACACCAAAGGGACCUGGCUUUGCCUGUUGGACGCACAGCACCCACCAAUGAGUGGGUGACAAACUGCACGUUUCCAGGGCUGUGGUUUUCUGGGCAUCUGCAGCUGCCCGUCACUCUUGCAAACUGUCGCCGUUGAUUUUGCAGAACGUCAUCCGUCGUGUUUCCUCACGCUCCUUGGAAUGCACUAAAUAACCAAAAGAGCAGCUGACAAAAUAAAUGAGCAAAGUGGGGUUUUUUGUUGUUGGGUUUUUUUGUUUUUUGUUUUUUUCUUUUUUCAGAGACAUUGCACAAAGGGCAGGAUGGGCUGUUUGGGACGUGCCACUUCUGCCCAUUUCAAACGCAGACUUCAUCAGGGCAGCUGGCAGAAGGGAUGGCUCCAGUCCUUCGUGCUCACAGACGGUUUGUUCCGGACCUGGCUCUGGCUGAACCCUGGUGAACUUCCCCCGCAUCCCCUUCCCCGCCGGAGAGCUUGCAGCCAUGAACUUCCCGUGCCUGACCCAAGCAUCUCCGAGAGGUGUGAUCUGAGCUGCAGCCGGAGGAAGGAGAUGGUCGACCCGCCCCUGGCUCCCGCUCAGCCUCCCUAAUCAGCGCAGGAAUGUCUCUGGAUGGCCAUGCAGCAGACAUAUAUUUCAGUGGAGGUGGCAAAGAGUAAGGGGGAAAUGUGGAAUGAUGCAGGAGCUGUAUAAUGGAAUGGAACAAAAUUUCUGGUACAUACGUAUGUUUAUAUAUAACAUCAUGCAGAAAGACCCUAUGCAAGGAGUAUGGAAGAGAGGAUGGAUCUUGCUGCUCAUGCCCCAGACCAGCCUCCUCCUUGUUGCAGACUGUAAUAAGCCAUCGCUGGAGGAUGGUAGAGAGGUUCUUUGAAAAUCUCUCCAAGAUGCACUGCAAUAUUUGCCCAUCUGAGGACUGGAAAACCUAGUGCAAAUCCUAGAAAGUGGAAAUUGCCCUACGCAUGGCAGAGUGGAGCAAGCAGUGAGUCUAUUCUCCUUAUUAAACCCUUAUGCUUCCAAUAAAAGAAUUGUGAAACUAUUCCCAUCGGUGGCCUGUCCUCUACCCACAACAGUGACAGAGAAGACUGUUUGAUUUCCAUCAGCAGAAUAAUAUGAGUGUGGACGCCACUGCCACAAAUUUAAGAAGGAUCUCCAGUUGCUGCUUGCCAAAGAAACAGUGCAUGGUCUGGGGGUUUUCAGCCCUCAAGUGGAGAUGCCGCUGGUGUGAUGACAGCUUGAGCAGCAUGAAGCUCCAGAAGAGCUUGAACAGAAAGGGCUGUGUCUGCAAAGAGGUGGGUCAGCUGUGUCUCUGGAGAGCUGCAUGCAGAGCCAGACCCGACCUCUUCUCAGUGAGGUGGAAGCAAAUGUUGGUGCUUUGGGUCUGUCCACAUCUACAAGCAUGCGUGAGGUCCCUUGCUGUGGUUCAGCUGAUGUGGGGCAUCUUGCUCAACAGUUCGAGAGUCUCAGCUUGCAAAUAUUGAAGGAGAUAAAUGGUUAAAAGAAAACUAAAACAACCAUACCCAAAAUAAACAAACCAACCCCAAACAAACAAAUGAAACCUCAAAACAAACAAAGAACUCAAAACAAACAACCAAAACCUUCCCUACCCCCUCUCCCCCCCAAAAAAAUGAAGGAAGGAACAAGGAACCCUGGUGAUCACAGCAGGAUCUGCAAGGCUCACACUGGAGAGGACAGGUAUGACAGGGGCACGUUUAGCACCUGGCUGCUCUUUACAUCACAGGGCAGAAAUAUGAAAAAUAUGAAAUAUGCAGCAGGGUUGGAUGAAAAGGAAAAUGUAAUGAGAGUAGGAGAAAGAAUGCCACAUGCUCCAACCGCAUCUGAACUUGGCAGCAGCAGCCCAGGGAAGCCCAUGUAAAUCCUAGAAGCAUGUUAAAGGCAUUUUCACCCCACAAAGACUGACAUGCAUGAAAAGUAUUGUUUCAACAAUGUCAGUCAAGAGCCUGGAGAAAUAAUUUGCUAAUAUACUGCCUAGAAGCCCAACAUGGCUAAUUGGAGGGAUGUUCACAUCUUGGAAUGGAGACUACUUGGGAACAGUCUUCCAAUGGGGUAACGAAGUGCAAAGAAGUAAAGGCUGUGUGAACAAGAUGGUGUGUCGAUGCUGCAUUUACACAGCAAAGUGAGAGAUUUCCUCAAGGAGCACAAAGAAAACAUGACAGCAGAGAGAAAACACAUGUACAUGAAGCAUAGGCAAUACAACGUAAGGACAGACUGAGGGAUGUUGUAGAGAAAGACAUAACUGAAAACGCUCGGAAUAUUGCCUAUGUCAUGUGCAAAGGAAGUUAUUAUCCAGCAGCACUGUGCCCAGGCAGAGCAAGCAUUCCUUCCAGUAAGGUUUAGGAGAUGAAUCCUCACUUCUGGGGGCAGCGUGGUCAUCCUUUGGGUUUCUUCUUGGCCUGUCCUUUGUGUACUGUAGACACAUCAAGAUCUGCAAAGGCUUAGCUACGCUGCUAUUUUUCCCUUAAAAAAUAUACUCUCUAAUUUAUUGAAUUACAGGAUACAUAUCAUUUUGCAUUAAAGGGGAUAUAGUGGAAUGCAUUCAUAUUCAAUUUGGCCGUUGCAGCAGAAUCACAGAAUCACAGAAUGGCCCGGGUUGGAAGGGACCUCCAGGAUCAUGAAGCUCCAAACCCAGCAGGAAAUACAACAAUAUCUUCCUAAAAUAAGGCAUUAUAAGUCUCUGUCAGCUCCCUCAAGUUGGCUUAGAAAUAGCUUAUGGACCCAUUUCCCCCAAAGAUCUGUGGAGGAUGGAUGAAUGGGAAGCAUCUGUAGGUGAGGAACUGUGUUACACAGGAAACAUUGCUCUGUCUUUAUGCUCAGCCUUUUUUUUCUUACAUUGCAGAUCUGAAAAGCCAUAAAGAAAAGUAUAAUUUGCCUGAUUCUUCUGGCUAGCUGGGAGAAUGAAUGAGCCCCACUGGUUCCUGAGGUGCAUUGGCCAUGCUGAUGGCAGGUUUGCUAAAUCUCAGGGGAGGGAUGCAGCUGUGACAGCGGGCAUCCAGGGUCAGGGGGGACACAUUUUGUCUUGGUGGAGCUUCAGCAGGUGGUGGAUUGAACCCAAGCAGGAUACGGAGGUCACAAGUCCAGGAUAACUUGCAAGUCCAACCCAAUCCAUGGGCAGUUCACCAGAGAACCAUGGAAUCCAGCCAUAAAGGCUGGAAAAGGCCUCUAAGAUCCCAAGUCCAACCCCAGCCCACCCCAUCAUGCCCACUAGUCAUGUCCCCCCAGUGCCACAUCUCUUGAUGAGAUCUUCCUGAACACCUCCAGGGAUGGGGACUCCACCACCAUCCUGGGCAGCUUCUUCUAAUAACUCACCACCCUUUGCACUACUUUCCAUUCUACUUCCAGUAAGAUAGAGACAGAAAGUGGAGCUGAGCCUACUGAAGAACGAAGGACAGCCAACAUGUACUAGGUGCUCAUGCUUGAUGCCUGCAGGCCAGGUAAAUCCAGGGAGCAGUUGUAAAAGGAAGGGAAGUGCAGGGACAGUCGCAGCUGAUUCUCCCACCGGCUGUGGGGAAGGUACUGCACCUCCCUGCAGCUUUUAUUUAUCUCCUAGACUUUCUCUUGCAUGUUUAAAUUGCCGUGGCUUUGAAGGAGGAGCUGUGCUGUGCACUGUCCCAGCACCCACCAGGACGUCUAUUGGGACAGCUGCUCUCCUAUCCGCCCACCAAAUGGCUGAAUUCUCCAGCAAGGACAAAGACCUUAUUUAUGCUCAUGCCUCUCAAAGUACAUAUAUUUUAGUCCUGGAGGAUUUACUGGCAAUAAAGUUUUCUUCUGAGAUUCCUAAAUCACGAGGUACUUAGGCUCUGCAGACCAUGAUGCCCAUGGACAAUAUUUGCUCUGUAGCUUGACACAUCUUUCUGCCUUAGAAUAACAGAAAAACAUGCAGCCAGGACCUGCCCAGCUGCGAGGACUCUAAAUCACCUGCUUUUUCUUUGUUUCCAGAGGGGCAGGUGCAGCUCAGAUUAUCUGCAAGCUAUUUUAUGACUUAACAACACGGGCUUUAAUGCAGUUAGAGAUGCCUUUAUUCAUUCUUACACUCCUGAGUAUUUUUGUGUAAACAUUUUUCAUCUGUGGCAAGCCAGUUUGUUUGUUAUGUUUUGUCAUGUCAGAGCAGACUGUGAUUAGACACUGAGAUGAGACUACUAAAUAUUCUCAGAUGUUUUCUAUUUCCUCAGAGAAGAGCUGGAUUUGAACCAAAGCUCCGAGGUGAAAGGGUGAUGUGUAAUAUAUUGAGACAUCUGAAAUAAAAUAAUGUAAUGUUUUUAAUAUUUAAGAAGAAAAAGGCAGCAGUAAAACAUCGUGGAAGGAGGAAAACAUGAAUACCUAUAUAUUUUAAUUUUAAAUACAUGCAGAUGUUGAAUUUUAAUCAGAGCAUGUCAGAAUCUGACUGUAACAAAGGCAAAAAUGUGAGAUCUGUUUUCUUGAAUUGCUUCCAUAUUUUGAGCUCCAGAUUUUUAUUACAUAUAGCACUGCAUCAUCAUAUAUUUAUGUAAAGUGCCAGCACCCAUUGACUUAGCAUAUGCCUGAUGGUUAGCAUAUAAAACACUUCACAGUGAGAAGUAUAUUCUUUCCCUCAGUAUGUACAGUAUAUACCAUAUUAUACACGCCUGCACCUUCUUGCACAGUGGCAGAGCUCGUUUUCACCUCUCAGUAGGUCUGGUGUUUCUUUUGGACCCUUCUACCUUCACUCUGCUGCUGAUGCCCCUGGCUGUGAGAAUCUGGUCUAGGGGCAGACAUGAGAGAUGGUGCAUUUAAAUCGAUGGACAAAUGCUGGUCUCGGGUAGCUGGUAGAGAAGGGAGAUGCUAGACCCACAUGUCACUUUGCCCUUGGUGGUGCCACGCUUGCAGAAGAGCAUUGCUGCAGCAUCCUGCAGGUACUCAUGCAGUGAGGUGCUGGCACUGCUGCCCAGAGCUAUGGGUCCCUCAUCCUGGAGGUGCCCAAGGCCAUGGAUGGGACCCUGGCAGCCUGAGGUGGUGGGAGGUGUCCCAGCACCCCUCCAUAGAGCUGGGUACCAGCACACACCCGGGCCAAGGCAGCCCAGCCCAGGCUGCUGCUGUUGUCCAAAUCCACUCUGCUGCCAGCAAUGCCCUGCAGUGCUCUGGGGGGGGGAUCUGCAUCAGAGCUGCUUCCUUUUUUGGUUUCUUUUCUGGAUUGCUUUUCUUCAAUGAAUAGAAUUUUUAUUAUUAUUUUUUUAAGCCCUUCUCACGCCUUCAGCUCUGGGAGUGAGGCACAUGACCGCUGUUUGCUGAUGUUUUUCCUAAAAGAGUGAUGUUUGCAGAGUGCUGCAGCCCUCACCAGUCCCAGCUGCCAGCUGCUGGGGCUGAGGUCCCAUGGCACAGCCUGAACUGGGAUAGCAGAAUGCAACCCGGAGGGCUCUGCAUGCUCACAGCAAUGCACAGAUGUGUCUGUGCCUAAAUGUUCAUCAGAAUGAACGGAUCUGCCUUUAUUUCACCUGGUUCACUUGACCGACCCAUCGCAAACACUUGCUCGAGGCUGUGCAUCUUUUCCUCUCCAAUCCAUGGAUAUUCCCAUUGCGCCGGAAACUCCCUCAGUUCAGCUGUGUUCAGUCAUUCUCCCUCUGCCCUGAACAUCUGUUGGAGGCAGUGCGCUUAAUGGGAGAUGUCUUCAAAAUGCUAUUUCAGGUUUUCCAUUACAGGCGAGGUGGGAUACCCCGUGACAGCUUCGCCCCGUGCAGGAUUCCCAUGGAAGAGUCAUUUCCAUCAAAGGUCCCACCCUUACCGAUAUUACUGCUGGGGGAAUAGGAGAAAUCGUUUACAGGUUGGAUGUUUCUCCUUCUGUGUGCUCCACUGUCUCUUAAUGUGUCCUUUUUGUUGCCGGGAUUUCCUGCCCCUUACCACCCCACGUGCUGGAUUCAUUCACUUUUGAAUUGAUGCUAUGUGGAUGAGUGUGGGAUUUCUGAUUCUUUGUUAGGAGUUAAGCAUUACAGAGAUCCAGGACAAGCAGAAGGACAAGACCAAAGCUAGAUUUGUGAAAGCCUCUCCAUACCUAACUCCUAACCCCAUGUGAGUUGUUAUGUGCUUGAGCUGAGCACCCAUUUGCCUUUGGCUUUCUGGCCAUGAAAGCUGGCCCUCUGCUGUCUUGUGGGUGCUAUGUGCUAUUUCCCUGUGCAGAGCAGGCAGGAACAGAAUAUGAUAGCCCUGCAAAGAAGUCUCAGUCACUGCCCCUUUGCUUCCGUUCCCCUUCUUGUCCACAUAGUUGCCCAAACUGCUUGACCAUGCAACUGACUGCCUUGAUUGCCCUCUGCCUACAUAUCCAGAGUACAGCAAAGUAUUUAUUGUAUGAGGAAUACCAAGCGUGAAGCCCUGCCGUGCUGCAGGACCGGUGAUGCUGAGGUGCUCUCGAAUGGGCAGAACAGGGCUUUUGCACCAGGAAUGAGCCCCAGCCAAGAUGCUGACAGACCCUGGUCACUCAGAAAAGCUUCUUACAGUCUCAGCACUACUUCUUCUGUCUUAUCCACAGUUUUCUAGGAGCUGCAAAUGAUCAGUUUGGCUCUGACCCUGUGAUCUUUGCUCGUACAAAGCUCUUACUGACGCCAAGAAUUUUCCAGCCCUCAUUCCUACUGACAGAGGCAGUUUUAGCUGGGUGAGAACUUUGCCACUGGGGCACCUGUGUUUUUCAGGGUUUUUCCAGGUGAAGAUUUUAUUUUCCUAUAUUUUUUUGCCCCUUGUAGGUGCUGAGAGUGCUGAGCUCUCAGAAUCACAGUUGUGUGGGAUUCCAGCUUUGUUAAAACAAUAUCCUAAAGGUUGCGAAGCCGAGCUGCUUGCCAAGAGCGAAAAUUGAAUGUUCCACUCUCCCCAUUUGACUAAAUUUAGUUUGGGAUCCUGAUGAAGUCUUUCUUUGUGUGAUUUCAUGUCUACAGGGCAACUGCGAGAGAAGACUUCCUAAUUCUGUCAGGAUGCUGGCAGCCCUGAUGCUGGGACAGCAUGUCCUCUGGGCGUUUGCUGCACUGCCAUAUAUACAGCACUAGAUUGUGUCCCUGUUCUAUUGGAGAGACCCUGUAGCAGUAUUCUUUUUUGUUUGCUUGUUUUCAUUUUUCCCCUCUUUUUUUUUUCCUCUUCUGUUGCAUGAAAGAAACUUGUGUGUAUGGCAGUAGGUUUGUUUGCCCUGUAGAUAUUUGAUGGUAAUUCUGCCUGACCGUGAUAGCUUUUAUUGUACCAUAGGUCAACUGGAGAGUGUUUUGAAGGGUCAUUUAGAGUGAAAUUCUCCUUUCUUUUGUGCGGUGUACAAAGAAAGAGGCAUGGGAUGGAGAAGUACUCUGUGAAAAUGUGAGACAUCUUCCCAAUGUUACUCAGCCAUAGGACCAAGUGAUGGAUAGCCAUGGGGUGAGAUAACAUUGGUCCUGUGUUGCCAUUCUAUUGAAUAUUAGAUCUAAGCCACUGUCAGGGUUCAGACGAGUAGGAGGCCCUUUGGAGCCCAUUAGAGAUUAUUGAUACAUGCGAAAGAAUGAGUUCUGCCCUGUCCUGGAGGCAUUCAAGGCCAGGCUGGAUGUGGCUCUGGGCAGCCUGGGCUGCUGGUUGGCGACCCUGCACAUAGCAGGGGGUUGGAACUGGAUGAGCAUUGUGGUCCUUCUCAACCCAGGCCAUUCUGCGAUGCUAUGAUCCUAAAGUCCUGUCCAUCAAGCUGUAGGUGCCCCUGUUCAUUGCAGGGGAGUUGGACCAGACAACCUUUAAAAGUCCAUGCCAACUCACUCAAUUUUAUGAUUCUAUGAUUGCAUGAGAAACGGCUUAUUUUGUCCGGGAAAACAAGCCUUGUUAAAUUAAAUGCUGUACUCCUUUGUGCACAAAAGCAAUCUUCAGCCCAAGCUCCAUCGUGUCAUUGGUCAGCUGCCCUCUCCACCAUGCUGCACAUCGGUACCUUUCCUUGCUGUCUUCUCUGCAUGCUUGAGGAUGAGAGGAUUUGCCUUCCUCCUUGGUGUUAUCAUCAGCACAAAGCAGUAUUCUGAAAGGCAGCCCUCCCCCAGAUUGUAUCUCUGGAUUCUGCUGAUCUUUCAGGCUGCACUGGAAGCAGAUCUGCCAUGUGUGAAUGGCCCAAUGCAGGACUCCCAGUGUGGGAGUAUUGGCUCCCCAAGGUAAAAUCCCUGGAAAGCCAUGCAAGAGCGAUUAUUGCAUUUGCAUUUAAGCAGAAGCACAAGGCUGGGCAGCCUGCUGUUCGUCAGCCUUCUGGAUAUACAUCUCAGUCCCCAGCUGGCAGUAAAUGUAUUGUCGGAUAUCCCUCCAAACUUGUGUAAGUUAUUGCUUUCUUAGAGUGCUUUUAUACCUGUGUGUAUUUUUCUUCCUGUUCCAGCAUCUUACAAAGCUCUCUUUGGAGACGAUCAGCAUUGCUAAGUAUAGUUUUGCAAAAUUCCAGGACACGUCUUCACUUGGCACAUGAAAAUUAGUUAACAGACUGUCAUGAGACCUUUCUUUGCUCUCCCACUGUUCUCACUCCCACGACACCUGACGUAUAGCGCAUGGGCUUGCGAAUGGCCUCAGGUUUGCUCUGUGACUCACCAUUAAUCACCAUGAGAAAUAGCCUUCCCAGUUCGUAAAUUCAAGGUAAACUCUAUUUCCCGCAUAUUCUGUCAAACGGACAUCAGCAGGCUGUUUAUAUUAAUUCAUGCCCCCUUAAACAUUGCAUUCAGGGAGGUGAGAAGUGCUGGGGGGGGCUCUGCUGUGCUGACAAACAUGUUUGCGCCUUCAUUUGCAGAGCUCUUCUCCCUUAGCGAUGCACAUGUAGUUCCCAAGCACAGUACAGAUUGUUCAGUCGUUCAAACCACAAGCUAAAUAUUUGAGCUUCCAGUGCUUUAAGUAAACACGUCCUAUCUAUACACCAGCUGCAAGAAGAGAUGCUGAAUUUGGGGAUGAUCUUACACCAUUAAAUCAAUUUCAAAUUUAUAAAUAUCCAGGGUGAGCUAUGGUCACCGAACAGGGGACUGCUGUGAAUAGCUGUAGCUGUUGAGCCUUGAUAUGCAAUUAAAUCAUAGGGAACAAUGGUGA